UACGAGGGGGGCAAGCGUUGUUCGGAAUUAUUGGGCGUAAAGGGCGCGUAGGCGGCUCCACAAGUCACUUGUGAAAACUCUGGGCUCAACUCAGAGCCUGCAAGCGAAACUGUAGUGCUAGAGUAUGGGAGAGGUGCGUGGAAUUCCGGGUGUAGCGGUGAAAUGCGUAGAUAUCGGGAGGAACACCUGUGGCGAAGGCGGCGCACUGGACCAUAACUGACGCUGAGGCGCGAAAGCGAGGGGAGCAAACAGG
rnacentral:rRNA from 1 species